AUUGAACGCUGGCGGCAGGCCUAGCACAUGCAAGUCGAGCGGAUGAGGGUAGCUUGCUACCUGAUUCAGCGGCGGACGGGUGAGUAAUGCCUAGGAAUCUGCCCGAUAGUGGGGGACAACGUUUCGAAAGGAACGCUAAUACCGCAUACGUCCUACGGGAGAAAGUGGGGGAUCUUCGGACCUCACGCUAUCGGAUGAGCCUAGGUCGGAUUAGCUGGUUGGUGAGGUAAUGGCUCACCAAGGCUACGAUCCGUAACUGGUCUGAGAGGAUGAUGAGUCACACUGGAACUGAGAAACGGUCCAGACUCCUACGGGAGGCAGCAGUGGGGAAUAUUGGACAAUGGGGGAAAGCCUGAUCCAGCAAUGCCGCGUGUGUGAAGAAGGUCUUCGGAUUGUAAAGCACUUUAAGUUGGGAGGAAGGGCUGUAGGCUAAUAUCCUGCAGUUUUGACGUUACCAACAGAAUAAGCACCGGCUAACUUCGUGCCAGCCGCCGCCGUAA
rnacentral:rRNA from 1 species